rnacentral:rRNA from 1 species
AUGCAAGUCGAGGGGCAGCAUUUCUAGCUUGCUAGAAGAUGGCGACCGGCGGACGGGUGCGUAACGCGUAUGCAACUUGCCUAUAACUUGGGGAUAACUUGGAGAAAUCCUUGCUAAUAUCUAAUGUGAUCAAAGAUUCGCAUGUUUUUUUGAUUAAAGAAUUUCGGUUAUAGAUAGGCAUGCGUCCUAUUAGCUAGUUGGUAAGGUAACGGCUUACCAAGGCGACGAUAGGUAGGGGGCCUGAGAGGGUGAUCCCCCACACUGGUACUGAGACACGGACCAGACUCCUACGGGAGGCAGCAGUGAGGAAUAUUGGUCAAUGGAGGCAACUCUGAACCAGCCAUCCCGCGUGAAGGAUGAAGGCGCUCGACGUCGUAAACUUCUUUUAUAUAGGAAUAAACUUAAGUACGUGUACUUAAUUGAAUGUACUAUAUGAAUAAGCAUCGGCUAACUCCGUGCCAGCAGCCGCGGUAAUACGGAGGAUGCAAGCGUUAUCCGGAUUUAUUGGGUUUAAAGGGUCCGCAGGCGGACCAGUCAGUCAGUGGUGAAAUCCCAUCGCUCAACGAUGGAACUGCCAUUGAUACUGCUGGUCUUGAGUCUAGUUGACGUAGGCGGAAUAUGACAUGUAGCGGUGAAAUGCAUAGAUAUGUCAUAGAACACCAAUUGCGAAGGCAGCUUACGAAACUGAGACUGACGCUCAUGGACGAAAGCGUGGGUAGCGAACAGGAUUAGAUACCCUGGUAGUCCACGCCGUAAACGAUGAUCACUCGAUGUCAGCGAUAUACAGUUGGUGUCUUAGCGAAAGUUUUAAGUGAUCCACCUGGGGAGUACGUUCGCAAGAAUGAAACUCAAAGGAAUUGACGGGGGCCCGCACAAGCGGUGGAGCAUGUGGUUUAAUUCGAUGAUACGUGAGGAACCUUACCUGGGCUUAAAUGUAGAGUGCUUUAGAUGGAAACAUCUUUUUCUUCGGACGCUCUAC